rnacentral:rRNA from 1 species
GACGAACGCUGGCGGCGUGCUUAACACAUGCAAGUCGAACGGAAAGGCCCUGCUUUUGUGGGGUGCUCGAGUGGCUAACGGGUGAGUAACACGUGAGUAACCUGCCCUUGACUUUGGGAUAACUUCAGCAAACUGGGUCUAAUACCGGCUAGGAGCUCCUGCUGCAUGGUGGGGGUUGGAAAGUUUCGGCGGUUGGGGAUGGACUCGCGGCUUAUCAGAUUGUUGGUGGGGUAGUGGCUUACCAAGGCUUUGACGGGUAGCCGGCCUGAGAGGGUGACCGGCCACAUUGGGACUGAGAUACGGCACAGACUCCUACGGGAGGCAGCAGUGGGGAAUAUUGUACAAUGGGCGGAAGCCUGAUGCAGCAACGCCGCGUGCGGGAUGACGGCAUUCGGGUUGUAAACCGCUUUCGCCUGUGACGAAGCGUGAGUGACGGUAAUGGGUAAAGAAGCACCGGCUAACUACGUG